rnacentral:rRNA from 1 species
CUUNGGGGUACUCGAGUGGCGAACGGGUGAGUAACACGUGGGUGAUCUGCCCUGCACUUUGGGAUAAGCCUGGGAAACUGGGUCUAAUACCGAAUAGGACCACGCGCUUCAUGGUGUGUGGUGGAAAGCUUUUGCGGUGUGGGAUGGGCCCGCGGCCUAUCAGCUUGUUGGUGGGGUAAUGGCCUACCAAGGCGACGACGGGUAGCCGGCCUGAGAGGGUGACCGGCCACACUGGGACUGAGAUACGGCCCAGACUCCUACGGGAGGCAGCAGUGGGGAAUAUUGCACAAUGGGCGCAAGCCUGAUGCAGCGACGCCGCGUGAGGGAUGACGGCCUUCGGGUUGUAAACCUCUUUCANNAGGGACGAAGCGUAAGUGACGGUACCUGNAGAAGAAGCACCGGCCAACUACGUGCCAGCAGCCGCGGUAAUACGUAGGGUGCGAGCGUUGUCCGGAAUUACUGGGCGUAAAGAGCUCGUAGGUGGUUUGUCGCGUUGUUCGUGAAAACUCACAGCUUAACUGUGGGCGUGCGGGCGAUACGGGCAGACUAGAGUACUGCAGGGGAGACUGGAAUUCCUGGUGUAGCGGUGGAAUGCGCAGAUAUCAGGAGGAACACCGGUGGCGAAGGCGGGUCUCUGGGCAGUAACUGACGCUGAGGAGCGAAAGCGUGGGGAGCGAACAGGAUUAGAUACCCUGGUAGUCCACGCCGUAAACGGUGGGUACUAGGUGUGGGUUCCUUCCUUGGGAUCCGUGCCGUAGCUAACGCAUUAAGUACCCCGCCUGGGGAGUACGGCCGCAAGGCUAAAACUCAAAGGAAUUGACGGGGGCCCGCACAAGCGGCGGAGCAUGUGGAUUAAUUCGAUGCAACGCGAAGAACCUUACCUGGGUUUGACAUGCACAGGACGCCGGCAGAGAUGUCGGUUCCCUUGUGGCCUGUGUGCAGGUGGUGCAUGGCUGUCGUCAGCUCGUGUCGUGAGAUGUUGGGUUAAGUCCCGCAACGAGCGCAACCCUUGUCCUAUGUUGCCAGCGGGUUAUGCCGGGGACUCGUAGGAGACUGCCGGGGUCAACUCGGAGGAAGGUGGGGAUGACGUCAAGUCAUCAUGCCCCUUAUGUCCAGGGCUUCACACAUGCUACAAUGGCCGGUACAAAGGGCUGCGAUGCCGUGAGGUGGAGCGAAUCCUUUCAAAGCCGGUCUCAGUUCGGAUCGGGGUCUGCAACUCGACCCCGUGAAGUCGGAGUCGCUAGUAAUCGCAGAUCAGCAACGCUGCGGUGAAUACGUUCCCGGGCCUUGUACACACCGCCCGUCACGUCAUGAAAGUCGGUAACACCCGAAGCCGGU